CAGCCGCCGCGGUAAUACGUAGGGGGCAAGCGUUAUCCGGAAUCACUGGGUGUAAAGGGUGCGUAGGCGGUUAUGUAAGUCAGAUGUGAAAUACCGAAGCUCAACUUCGGGGCUGCAUUUGAAACUGUGUGACUAGAGUACAGGAGAGGUAAGUGGAAUUCCUAGUGUAGCGGUGAAAUGCGUAGAUAUUAGGAAGAACACCAGUGGCGAAGGCGACUUACUGGACUGAAACUGACGCUGAGGCACGAAAGCGUGGGGAGCAAACAGGAUUAGAUACCCUGGUAGUCCACGCUGUAAACGAUGAAUGCUAGGUGUUGGCGGGAGACCGUCGGUGCCGCAGUUAACACAAUAAGCAUUCCACCUGGGGAGUACGAUCGCAAGAUUGAAACUCAAAGGAAUUGACGGGGGCCCGCACAAGCGGUGGAGUAUGUGGUUUAAUUCGAAGCAACGCGAAGAACCUUACCAAGACUUGACAUCCCUUUGAAUAAGCUUGUAAUGAGCUUAGCCUUUCGGGGCAAAGGUGACAGGAGGUGCAUGGCC
rnacentral:rRNA from 1 species